AUUUGAUGAUGGGGACAGCUUGCACACAGUUUCUUAAAUCAUUCCCAAUACUCAUAUAAGCUCUUUUUAUUGUACUGCCAUAUGCCACAAAUUUCUUUUCUUAUAUU